rnacentral:pre_miRNA from 1 species
GUAGUACUCCCUCUAUUCGGAAUUACUUGUCACAAAAAUGGAUGUAUCUACAACUAAAAUACAUCUAGAUACAUUCAUUUCUUGGACGAGUAAUUCCGAAUGGAGGGAGUAUGUA